UAGACAUAAAGUUAGACAUAAAGAUAUACACAGAGGUAGACACGAAGAUAGACUUAAAGGUAGACAUAAAGAUAGA